GGACCCGCGUCGCAUUAGCUAGUUGGUGAGGUAACGGCUCACCAAGGCAACGAUGCGUAGCCGACCUGAGAGGGUGAUCGGCCACACUGGGACUGAGACACGGCCCAGACUCCUACGGGAGGCAGCAGUAGGGAAUCUUCCGCAAUGGACGAAAGUCUGACGGAGCAACGCCGCGUGAGUGAUGAAGGCUUUCGGGUCGUAAAACUCUGUUGUUAGGGAAGAACAAGUGCUAGUUGAAUAAGCUGGCACCUUGACGGUACCUAACCAGAAAGCCACGGCUAACUACGUGCCAGCAGCCGCGGUAAUACGUAGGUGGCAAGCGUUAUCCGGAAUUAUUGGGCGUAAAGCGCGCGCAGGUGGUUUCUUAAGUCUGAUGUGAAAGCCCACGGCUCAACCGUGGAGGGUCAUUGGAAACUGGGAGACUUGAGUGCAGA
rnacentral:rRNA from 1 species